CACAAAUGCCAUGGAAGCUAGAGCACUCUUGUAAUAAUUGUACACUUUUAGCACUUCGAUCAGUGCUAAAAGUGUACAAUUAUUACCAAUAUCAGUGGAAGAAUCGUGAAUAUCGGCCUAAUAUUCACCGAAAAUCGAGGACAUAAACAGUGGUGGUAUUUUGCUACCAGGAUGCAAUCUUUCUGUGAAAGAUUGACCUGCAGUAACCACAAAAUCUUCCCGGGAUCAACCAUGAAGCCAUCUUGACCUGCAAGAUGCACUACAGAUAAAUAUGGCCAAUUUCAUCAAGUGGGCCAUCCCCUCAUCGCAUCUCUACCGUCGGCGCUCAGAUAAAGGGCAAAACUAUUAAUCCCUUCAUCGUCCCCCGGAUCGUCCUUAUGAUGACAUCGGACCAACCAGUAAGCAAACGGAUCACAGGACCAGAUAUGUCGACCCCAGAGAAAAAAGUCGGAAGUAUUCGUAACCUCUAGGCUCAGCCGACAUCCGAUCCUGUCCUUCAAUUCUUCCGGUCUGGCCUGAUCAGCCAUCAAAGCACCUGCAAAUGAUUGAAAUAAACUUUUUAAACUA